rnacentral:rRNA from 1 species
AUUGAACGCUGGCGGCAGGCCUAACACAUGCAAGUCGAACGAGUGGCGGACGUGUGACUAAUGUCUGGGAAACUGACUGAUGGAGGGGGAUAACUACUGGAAACGGUAGCUAAUACCGCAUACCAUCAGAUGGGCCCAGCUGGGAUUAGCUUGGGGGUGGGGUAACCGCUCACCAAGGCGGCGAUCCCUAGCUGGUCUGAGAGGAUGAACAGUCACACUGGAACUGAGAAACGGUCCAGACUCCUACGGGAGGCAGCAGUGGGGAAUAUUGCACAAUGGGCGCAAGCCUGAUGCAGCCAUGCCGCGUGUAUGAAGAAGGCCUUCGGGUUGUAAAGUACUUUCAGCGGGGAGGCGUUACCCGCAGAAGAAGCACCGGCUAACUCCGUGCCAGCAGCCGCGGUAAUAC